rnacentral:rRNA from 1 species
CCUACGGUGGGCUGCAGUGAGGAAUAUUGGUCAAUGGCCGGAAGGCUGAACCAGCCAAGCCGCGUGAAGGACGAAGGUGCCAAGCAUUGUAAACUUCUUUUGUCAAGGGACAAAAUCAGGCUCGAGAGCCUGACCGAGGGAACUUGAAGAAAAAGCAUCGGCUAACUCCGUGCCAGCAGCCGCGGUAAUACGGAGGAUGCGAGCGUUCUCCGGAUUUAUUGGGUUUAAAGGGUGCGUAGGCGGACUGUUAAGUCAGCGGUAAAAGCCCGGGGCCCAACCCCGGGACUGCUCUUGGAACUGCGUGGCUAGAGUGCAGGAGGGGCAGGCGGAAUUCCUGGUGUAGCGGUGAAAUGCGUAGAUAUCAGGAGGAACACCGGUGGCGAAGGCGGCCUGCUGGACUGCAACUGACGUUGAGGCCCGAAAGCGUGGGGAGCAAACAGGAUUAGAUACCCGGGUAGUC